UGUGUGUGUGUGUGUGUGUGUGUGUGUGUGUGUGUGUGUGUGUAUACACACACACACAUAUAUAUACACACACACACA